rnacentral:rRNA from 1 species
AACAAGGUCUCCGUUGGUGAACCAGCGGAGGGAUCAUUAUCGAGUUAUUCAACUCCCAAACCCUAUGUGAACUUACCACUUGUUGCUUCGGCGCGCGCUUCGGCGCCGCCGAGGACACUUAAACUCUUUGUUUUUAUAAGCAUUUCUGAGUGGCCGAAAGGCAAAAAUACAAAUGAAUCAAAACUUUCAACAACGGAUCUCUUGGUUCCGGCAUCGAUGAAGAACGCAGCGAAAUGCGAUAAGUAAUGUGAAUUGCAGAAUUCAGUGAAUCAUCGAAUCUUUGAACGCACAUUGCGCCCGCCAGCAUUCUGGCGGGCAUGCCUGUUCGAGCGUCAUUUCAACCCUCGAGCCCGACUCUUUUGAGGACGGCUCGGCGUUGGGGGACGGCAGACUCCCCCCGGCAUCUCGCCGGGGACGCCGCCCCCGAAAUCUAGUGGCGGCCCUCCGAGGCGACCUCUGCGUAGUAACUUGUUCUCGCACCGGAAAGCUCAGAGCGGCCACGCCGUAAAACCCCAACUUUUUUCAGGUUGACCUCGAAUCAGGUAGGACUACCCGCUGAACUUAAGCAUAUCA